GUUUGGUCCUAGCCUUAUACUCAACUGCUACUUAACUUACACAUGCAAGUAUCCGCACACCCGUGAAAACGCCCUUCCCCCUCCAUCAGAGAAAGGAGCCGGUAUCAGGCGCAAAUUUUUGCCCAUGACACCUAGCCACGCCACACCCCCAAGGGUAUUCAGCAGUGAUAAACAUUGUCCAUUAGCGCCAGCUUGAUUCAGUCAAAGUAGAAUAGAGCCGGCCAAUUCGGUGCCAGCCGCCGCGGCUACCCCGCUUGGCUCAAGUUGAUAUCAUCGGCGUUAAGCGUGAUUAAAGUAAACUCAACAUUAGAAUUAAAACCCAACCAAGUUGUGACAAACUUGCCUAAAGAAACCCUCAAACGAAAGUUAUUCUAACUCAUACUUGAACCCACGACAGUUGGGGCACAAACUGGGAUCAGAUACCCCACUAUGCCCAACCGUAAAAUAUUCAUCCACAUCUAAUAGCCGCCAGGGAAUUACGAGUCACCUUAAAACCCAAAGGACUUGACGGUGUCCCACCCACCUAGAGGAGCCUGUUCUAUAAUCGACACCCCCCGAUACACCCAACCACCCCUAGCAUACUCAGUCUGUAUACCUCCGUCGCAAGCCUACCCUGUGAACGCUACUUAGUGGGCUCAAGGAUCCUCCAUCAAAACGUCAGGUCAAGGUGCAACUAACGAGGUGGAAAGCAAUGGGCUACAAUCUCUAUGAUAGAACACACGAAAAACUGCAUGCAACACAGUCACGAAGGCGGAUUUAGUAGUAAAAAGAAAAUAGAGUGUUCUUUUUAACCAGGCACUGGGACGCGUACACACCGCCCGUCACCCUCUUCAAGUCACCAAGAAGAGGCAAGUCGUAACACGGUAAGCGUACUGGAAGGUGCGCUUGGACAAUCAAAAUGUAGCUUACCCUAAAGUAUCUCGCCUACACCGAGAUGGACGUCAAUAAACAGACCAUUUUGAGCCCACACUCAAGCCCCCCAGCCACACACAACUAAAACGAAAUGAAAUAAAGCAUUCUGCCCGUCUAGUAAUGGCGAACGAAAAAUCAAUAAGAGCUUUCAAAAGUACCGCAAGGGAAACAUGAAAUAAAAAUGAAAACCCAAGCACAAUAUAGCAGAGAUUAAAUCUUGUACCUUUCGCAUCAUGGUCUAGCCAGUCCAACCAAGCAAAACGCACUUAAAGUUUGACUCCCCGAAACUAGGUGAGCUACUUUAGAACAGCUCAUGAGCCAACCCGUCCAUGUAACAAAAUGGUGGGAAGAUUCUAAAGUAGAGGUGACACACCCACCGAACCCAGAGAUAGCUGGUUAUUCAGGAAAAGGAUCUAAGUCCAACUUUAAGCCCCCCCUAGUAAUUAUAAACACACCCGCAGCUUAAAAGCCAUUCAAAUAAGGUACAGCCUAUUUGAACAAGAAGACAAUCUAUAAUGCAGGGUAACGACUUCCCCGUGGUCAAGUAGGCCUAAAAGCAGCCAACUUCCAAAAAGCGUCCAAGCUUCCCCACCGCACAUCACUAAUUCCCCCACUUAUACCCAACCCGCAACCAUUACUGAAUAAUCCCAUACAAUUAUGGGAAAUAUUAUGCUAGAACUAGUAACAAGAAGAAGAACUUCUCCCUAAUGCAAGCGUAAGCCAAAAUGGACCCCCUCCACCGGCACUUACCCGCCCCCACAACAGUAUCAACUCAACAAGAAAACCAUACCACCCCAAACGUUAACCUUACACUAGUGCACUACCGGAAAGAUUAAAAGAGGGGGAAGGAACUCGGCAAACAUCCAGCCCCGCCUGUUUACCAAAAACAUCGCCUCUUGACUAACCAUAAGAGGUCCAGCCUGCCCAGUGACUAACAGUUAAACGGCCGCGGUACCCUAACCGUGCAAAGGUAGCACAAUCACUUGUUCUUUAAAUCAGGACUAGUAUGAACGGCCUCACGAGGGCUACACUGUCUCCCCCCUUCAAUCAGUGAACCUGAUCUCCCCGUGAAGAAGCGGGGAUAACCCAAUAAGACGAGAAGACCCCAUGGAACUUCAAACUCGUACCACUGCUCCAAAUACACCACACCAGCCAGAGCAAAAUGCCUACUAGUCUUUCGGCUGGGGCGACCACGGAGAAAAAUAAAACCUCCACGAUGAAGGGGGACACCCCUAAUUCCAGAGCUCCCGCUCUAAAAAUCAACAAAUUGACAUAAAUUGACCCAGACACACCUGAUCAACGAACCAAGCUACCCUGGGGAUAACAGCGCAAUCCAUUUCGAGAGACCACAUCGACAAAUGGGCUUACGACCUCGAUGUUGGAUCAGGGUAUCCUGAUGGUGCAACCGCUAUCAAGGGUUCG
rnacentral:ncRNA from 1 species